ACGUGCUCCGGGGUCGGUGGAAUUCCGAACCGGCGGUGAUAGUCCGCGAGCCGCGCGAGUAACCCUCCUCCAGAGGGAGACGAACGCGGUUGACCUGGUGGAAUUCCAGGGCCGACGGUAACGAGGCAGCUUCAUCGCCUCCAAAGUCCGGAUGAGAGGUAGCACGC
rnacentral:ncRNA from 1 species